CAAUAGCGUAUAUUAAAGUUGUUGCGGUUAAAAAGCUCGUAGUUGGAGUUCUGCCAGGUGCCGCCUGUCCGCCCCAGUGGUGAGUACGUGGCGCGCAUUUGGCCCUUUCAAGGGGAGCGUAUCUGCACUUUAUUGUGUGGUGCGGGAUCCUUGACUUUUACUUUGAGGAAAUAGGAGUGUUCCAAGCAGGCUCUCGUCGUGCACAGCUCAGCAUGGAAUAAUAGCAUUGGACCUCGAUUCUAAGCUGUUGGUUGCCAGAAGCGAGGUAAUGAUGAAGAGGGAUAGUUGGGGGCAUUCGUAUUUAACUGUCAGAGGUGAAAUUCUUGGAUUUAUGAAAGACGAACUUCUGCGAAAGCAUUUGCCAAGGAUGUUUUCAUUGA
rnacentral:rRNA from 1 species